GACGUAGGGGCGCGAGCGUUUGUCCGGAUUUAUUGGGCGUAAAGAGCUCGUAGGCGGCUUGUCGCGUCGACUGUGAAAACCCGUGGCUCAACCAUGUGGUCUGCAGUCGAUACGGGCAGGCUAGAAUUCGGUAGGGGAGACUGGAAUUCCUGGUGUAGCGGUGAAAUGCGUAGAUAUCGUAAGGAAGACCAGUGGCGAAGGCGGGUCUCUGGACAGUUCCUGACGGCUGAGGCACGGAAGGCCAGGGGAGCAAACGGG
rnacentral:rRNA from 1 species